rnacentral:rRNA from 1 species
UACGAAGGGGGCUAGCGUUGCUCGGAAUGACUGGGCGUAAAGGGCGCGUAGGCGGUUCAUACAGUCAGAUGUGAAAUUCCCAGGCUUAACCUGGGGGCUGCAUUUGAUACGUGUGGGCUUGAGUGAGGAAGAGGGUUGUGGAAUUCCUGGAGUAGCGGUAAAAUGCGUGGAUCUCAGGAGGAACACCAAUGGCGAAGGCAGCUUCUUGGCUCAUUCCUGACGUUGAGGCACGAAAGCGUGGGGAGCAAACAGG